GACGAAAGAGGGAGGAGGGAGGAACACAUGCAAGUCGAACGGAAAGGCCCUGCUUUUGUGGGGUGCUCGAGUGGCGAACGGGUGAGUAACACGUGAGUAACCUGCCCUUGACUUUGGGAUAACUUCAGGAAACUGGGGCUAAUACCGGAUAGGAGCUCCUGCUGCAUGGUGGGGGUUGGAAAGUUUCGGCGGUUGGGGAUGGACUCGCGGCUUAUCAGCUUGUUGGUGGGGUAGUGGCUUACCAAGGCUUUGACGGGUAGCCGGCCUGAGAGGGUGACCGGCCACAUUGGGACUGAGAUACGGCCCAGACUCCUACGGGAGGCAGCAGUGGGGAAUAUUGCACAAUGGGCGGAAGCCUGAUGCAGCAACGCCGCGUGCGGGAUGACGGCCUUCGGGUUGUAAACCGCUUUCGCCUGUGACGAAGCGUGAGUGACGGUAAUGGGUAAAGAAGCACCGGCUCACUACGUC
rnacentral:rRNA from 1 species